rnacentral:rRNA from 1 species
AGUAAGUUUUCUUGGUGAUCAAGCCAGUAACGGCUAACGGUGGAUGACUUGGCAUGAGAAGGCGAUGAAGGACGUGGUAAGCUGCGAUAAGCUCCGGUGAGCCGCAAACAGGCUUUGACCCGGAGAUUUCCGAAUGGGGCAACCCGCCGCCGGUCAUACGGCGGCGCUUCUGUCGCAAGACGGGAGCGCGAUACCCAGGGAACUGAAACAUCUCAGUACCUGGAGGAAAAGAAAACGGAUGUGAUUCCCAGAGUAGCGGCGAGCGAAAAGGGAACAGCCUAAACGGGGUCCGUGCAAGCCCGAACGCGUUGCGGAUCCCGGGUUGUGGGAUUUUGGGGGAGGUCAGUUCGGAGGCCUCGCCGAGUCAAAAACGGAAUGGUUAAUCGAAGGACUUGGAACGGUCCGCCAAAGAGGGUGACCAGCCCCGUAGAUGAAAAUCAGUCCGCUCGGUGCCCGAAACACCCGAAUACUGCGGGACACGUGAAACCCUGCAGGAAUCCGGCCCGGCCAUGGGCCCAGGCUAAAUACUCUCUCAUGACCGAUAGUGCACAAGUACCGUGAGGGAAAGUUGAAAAGCACCCCGUUGAGGGGAGUGAAAUAGUACCUGAAACCGUUAGCUUUCAAGCGGUGGGAGCGCUAUGUUCCGUCCUUCGGGGCGGUCCAUGCGUGACCGCGUACCUUUUGUAUAAUGAACCGGGGAGUGACUAGGCGCAGCGAGAUUAACCCGUUCCGCGGGGGAGUCGAAGCGAAAGCAAGUCUGAAUAGGGCGUUCAGUUGCGUUUAGUCGGCCCGAAACUGGGUGAUCUACCCAUGGCCAGGCUGAAGCUCGGUUAAACCCGAGUGGAGGGCCGAACCCAUUCAGGUUGAAAACUGUCGGGAUGAGCUGUGGGUCGGAGUGAAAGGCUAAUCAAACCCAGAGAUAGCUGGUUCUCCUCGAAAUAGCUUUAGGGCUAGCCCCAGGAUUGCUUGGAUACGGGGGUAGAGUGCUGAAUGGGUGCGGGGGCUUACCAGCCUGCCAACCCCAACCAAACUCCGAAUACCGUACACCAUGACCCUGGGAGUCAGUCUACGUGGGAUAAGCUGCGUGGGCGAAAGGGAAACAGCCCAGACCGCCGACUAAGGUCCCAAAAACAGGCUAAGUGACAAAGGAUGUGUGAUGUCUUAGACAACCGGGAUGUUGGCUUAGAGGCAGCCACCAUUUAAAGAGUGCGUAACAGCUCACCGGUCGAGUCAUCGCGCGCCGACAAUGAUCGGGACUAAGCCUGUUACCGACGUCGCGGAUUUCGCAUCUUCGGAUGCGGAGUGGUAGAGGAGCGUGCUGCGUUAGGUUGAAGGCAGACCGUAAGGACUGCUGGACGAGGCAGCAGUGAGAAUCCCGGUAAGAGUAGCGAAAAUGCUGGCGAGAAUCCGGCACGCCGAAAGCCCAAGGUUUCCUGGGGAAGGUUCGUCCGCCCAGGGUAAGGCGGUCCUAAGUCGAGGCCGAAAGGCGUAGGCGAUGGACAGCAGGUUAAUAUUCCUGCCCUUUCGAGUGGUGCGCUUGAGUCAGGUUGGUGACGCAGAAGGCUAGGUUUUCCCGGGUGCUGGAUGUCCCGGGCCAACCCUGUAGCCCGCAAGGGUGAGAGGGGACGGGGAGCCGCGAGGAUACUCAAGGCGAACAAACUGAAGCCACGCUGACGAGAAAUAGCUGAUCUGACGAGGUGCCAUUCGGAAACCGUACCGAAAUCCGACACAGGUAGGCAAGCAGAAAAUGCUAAGGCGCGCGAGAGAACCCUUGCUAAGGAACUCGGCAAAAUUGCCCCGUAACUUCGGGAGAAGGGGUGGUUGCGUUUGUGAAGGGCCUGCGCCCGGAGCGAACACAACCGACAGUAAAGAGGGCUAUCUGACUGUUUAGUAAAAACACAUGACUCUGCAAAGUCGCUAAGACGACGUAUAGGGUCUGAUACCUGCCCGGUGCUGGAAGGUUAAGGGGAAGUGUCAUCCGCCGCAAGGUGGAGAAGCACAGAACUGAAGCCCCAGUAAACGGCGGCCGUAACUAUAACGGUCCUAAGGUAGCGAAAUUCCUUGUCGGGUAAGUCAAAUUGCCCAUUCCGGCUUAUAACGGAGAAACCCUCGUGGUUGGCGCCAAGGACGCCAGUGCAGAAUCGCAGGGUAACCCCGUGGGAAGUCGUCCAUUCUGGAAUGAGAGAGUGGAUUGACCCCGUAACGACUGAUUCCGAUGCCGUCAGGCAAAGGAUGAGAUGGGGAGCAACCAGCAAACCAUCAGACGCCGGAGAUCCCAAGAGAGGAAGAAGAAGUUUCCUCGUACAGGGAUCAAGAUAUAGUCUGCGCCUCCGGGAUGACCGGAGGGCUGAAGCGAAGUUCCGACCCGCACGAAUGGUAUAACAAGAUAGCCGCUGUCUCGGCGAGGGGCUCGGCGAAACUGUAGUGGCGGUGAAGAUGCCGUCUACCCACGAGUAGACGAAAAGACCCCGGAACCUUUACUAUACCCUGAUUUUGAAUGUUUGCCUGAUCUGCGUAGCAUAGGUGGGAGGCUUUGAGGCUUGGCUUUCGGGCUGAGCGGAGCCGUCAGUGAAAUACCACCCUGGUCAAUCGAACGUUCUAACCGGGACCGUGAAGGUUUUGGAACAGAGUCAGGCGGGUAGUUUGACUGGGGCGGUUUCCUCCUAAAGGAUAACGGAGGAGCACCAAGGUUCCCUCAGCGCGGUUGGCAAUCGCGUGUCGAGUGUAAGGGCAUAAGGGAGCCUGACUGCGAGUCCGACAGGACGAGCAGGGACGAAAGUCGGUCCUAGUGAUCCGGCGGUGGUAUAUGGUAGCGCCGUCGCUCAACGAAUAAUAGGUACUCCGGGGAUAACAGGCUUAUCGUUUCCGAGAGUCCAUAUCGACGAAACGGUUUGGCACCUCGAUGUCGGCUCAUCGCAUCCUGGGGGUGGAGAAGCUCCCAAGGGUCCGGCUGUUCGCCGGUUAAAGCGGUACGCGAGCUGGGUUUAGAACGUCGCGAGACAGUUCGGUCUCUAUCUCUCGUGGGCGCAAGGAAUCUUGACGGGGGUUGUCCGUAGUACGAGAGGACCCGGACAAACGAACCUCUGGUGUCCCAGUUGUGCCGCCAGGCGCAAACGCUGGGUAGUCAUGUUCGGUUGGGAUAAGCGCUGAAUGCAUCUAAGCGCCAAGCCCGCCUGAAGAUAAGGAUUCCCUGGACCGCAAGGUCCCUAAAGGCCCCUGGUAGAACACCAGGUUGAUAGGCUGGAGGUGGAAGCGGGGCGACCCGUGCAGCUGACCAGUACUAAUAGGCCGUGAGGCUUGAUUGCCUCUUUCU